AACUUUCAACAACGGAUCUCUUGGUUCUGGCAUCGAUGAAGAACGCAGCGAAAUGCGAUAAGUAAUGUGAAUUGCAGAAUUCAGUGAAUCAUCGAAUCUUUGAACGCACAUUGCGCCCUGUGGUAUUCCGCAGGGCAUGCCUGUUC
rnacentral:rRNA from 4 species